rnacentral:lncRNA from 1 species
AGCUUUUCAAUGAAUAGAAAAGUUGCAAUGCUUAUCAGGAUUUUUGAAGGCUAUGAAUUGAAAUGACAAAUUAAAUAGUCAAAUGAAACUUGGUUAUACCGCUGAGAAAGAUAACCCAGUUGCUAACAAGUGGCCAAGCAUUUCAAUGUUGCUGUGAUGCAACUCAAGCUAUUUGUAAGCAUAUUUUACUGGAAUCAUGCACUGCAGGUGUAAUGUGGCACCAGGGUGCAACCAGCAGCACACAAGCACAAAGUGUUAACGUAAUUGCAAGGCUGGAAAGAUGCACAAUGAAUUCCACUAAAAAAUAUUAGUGCGCGAAUGACAGAUGUAAAAGAUGCCAGUAUGAAGGGCAAGCAUGCAUAGUGACUUCAAUUGUGAGGAAAAACUAAGUCAAAUGUAGGGGAGUUGCACACAGUUGCUUUUAGUACAGUAGUCGGAUUUUGCUGCAAGAAUGCUAUGUCAUCAUUGCAGAAAGCCUACACCUUCACGGACUACAAAAUAAAUAAUAUUGGGUGACAUAUAGCUGAUCUGCGAAAACAAGCUCUUGUGCAGUACAACCACCCAAAUAAUAUACAUAUACAAUGCAAAGAGCAUCACAGAAACAUCUAGAUCGCUUGACCACCGCAGCAAACGAUAUGUAUGCAGUUGCGAGACUGGGGAUGUUAUAAACACCACACGCCGUCAUGCCUGCGAGGAGCCGCACAUGUCGCGAAUAUUUGAUGAUGCCAGUCUUUCGAUGUCUCAUAGGUCCC